CUGGUUCCUGCCACUGACCUUCAGAACCCCCUUUUCUAUUUUUAUGGAGGAAGGUGGUGUAGAGCAAGGCUGCUGUGUCUGGCAGGGUCGUUUCAUAUCCUGAAACUGGAUUAGGCUGUAUGUAACCGUAUCUAUUUAUUGCUCAUUCUUUCCUCCUUAGACUGUUACGCUCAGGGGGAGCAGCAAGAGCCUGCUGAGCACUGGGGCAGGGAAGAUGACUACCUGGUGCUGCGGAUACACAGAGAUCAAGAUGCGCAGGUGACAGUUCCUCAUCAAUCAGCUCUUACCUCGUGGCUUCUGCAUUUCAGUUACAGAAUCUGAAAUGUAAAUCGCUCUUGUAAUGAUCACGGUGCCACAGCAGAAGGCAGCGAGCGCCAGUGACAAUGGGCUCUAUUUGUUCCUUGUGCCAAGAAUCUAAAUGUAAAAGCGGGUGCUGCAGCAGUGGCGGUGGAAGGAGGUUGAGUUGCAGUUGACAAAGCACAAAAUUCCUCAGAAGCAGAAAAAGCCCCACAAGCAUCCCAAGUGGCACCAGGCAAACCUGGAAGAGCACUGUUUCCUUUCUGACCGCUUCCAUUCAGACCAAGACAAUCUCACCAGCAUCUCCCAAACAGCUCACGUGUUGGGUUUCCGUUCACCCUUGCUUCUCCCAGAAAAGGACAAGCUGCCGCCCGGCUCUAUCUGCUCUGGCGCAGGGAGCAUUAUCUUGCCUCACAGCCCGCACAGCGUAUUCCUGGAGCAGAAACAUUAGAGGGGUUAGUGACUGUUAUUUACAUACGUAAUGGUUUUGUUUCCUCUGCACAUUCUUUGUCACCAGAUUUAACCAUCUCGGUAACUGCAGGAGGCGGCUCUUGGCUGACACUGGUGCCCUGAGCCGGAACUGCCUGCUCAGAAAUGCAAGAAAUAACCAAAUGGGCACAAAUGUUUGUUCAUGGGCAACAUGCAAAUUAGUUCCUAAAUUUAAAGCAUUUGGCAAAACUGCCCAAACCCAGUUAAAGUCUUGGUUAUCUCACAAAGCACUGGUUAGCAAUCCUCGUUUGUUUUACCUAGUGAUUUGUUCUGUUGUAACCUGGGAUUUUUAUACCUCACAAGAACUACAGAUGUGUUUUGGUUGAUUCUCAUUAAUGUUUGGGUCAAGUUCUUCAGUCAAAGCACGGCUCUGUGAGCCACAGGAUGUGCUUCCUGGUUAACCGUUUUCUUGCUUGGGCAGACGGUGCCUCAGAUGGCAGCUACCUGCCAGCGCCAGUCCCCAGCAGCUCUCUGCCACCAUGGACUGAAUCCAGCAGGUUCAGCCAGACACGACUGAGGAGCAGCCCAGAAAUAUCCUGUGGACAGAAGGGAUAAGGGUAAGGUUACUGGCUGGGGGGUUUGGACUCAUUCCCAUCGGCUGUCGAGGUAAACCAUCUCCUAACCUUGCAGAAAGUCGCACAUCUCCAGCAGAACCAGUGUGAAGUGAAGGGGUUAUGCGCAGGUUAGCAGAAAACUGCAUGGUGCAUGGAGGAAAAAUAGCUUUUACUUUUAUACUUGGUUGUUAUUGAUCACUUCAGUUGAUCUCUCAUUUGAUACCGACCUAAUGAUGGGUUUAGUCGGGUUUUGUCAAUGAAGGGCUGAGCACUGGGUAAAUCUCUUACAAAUGUGAUUAAGAAAGUACAAAAAUCAAGAUGACCACCUAAUGCUGCACUGCUCAGCUGAGAGAGCAGGAGAGACAACAAAUAUUAAAUGCAAUUGAAUACGCAACAACUCUCCUGUAUACGGCAUCCCAGUGCAUCAAGAAAUUUUUCUUGUUUCUGGCCAGGAAAAUGUCCUGUUUGUGUUGCUUGGAAAAAAUAAUUACACUGCUCGUGCUUAUUUACACAUUCACAGCUUGCUGGAGAAAGGCUGAUUUUCCACCCUCCUUCCCAUGGUUCUGCGAAGAAUUCCUGCUGUUUCAGCAGCUGCAGCAGCACUACUUGUACCUGCUGGGGGCUCUGGUAACCACGAGAGCACAACCUGAGUGAUGGAGGACCAGCAAAAACCUCACAGGAGUUUACAGACCAAAGCAGGAUUUUACAAGGAUCUAGGCUGCUUCCCUGCUAAUUGCACCACCUUAUGGGACAAAGGUGUCUUCAUAACCCCAGCAAAAGCUGCUUAUUACUUGACACGGUGAUUUCCAGUCUGUUGUCAGAACAGUUCCUGGCAUCCUGAGUGCAAGGCACUGACGGCUGGAUAGCUUCAUGCAAGUUUAAUGAAGCACAAGGUGCCUACUGGCAGCAACAGCAAGGAAGAUUUCUCCCUACAUAAAACCAAAGGAGAGGUGAGCAGAUUUGUUCUGCCACUGUGGUGAUAACCCACGAGAAACUGAGCUCCAUCUGCCAGCCCCAGCAAGGCAGAUCUCCACCAGCUUUCACAUCUGAAGCUGAGACCAGCAGCAUUGCUGCACUAUGUGGGCAGGGAUGAGCCAGGGAGACAUUUCCCAGCAUGGGGAGAGCAAUUCUCUUCCUUUCUCAGGCAGUUUUUUAAGUAUUAGCAACCAUGGUAACUGGAGCAGAAGUGUAACCAGUCCGUGGUGCUUUCGGCUUGACACAAUUAUCUUUGCAGAACAGUCAUGUUAAAAAUAAACAGGACUUGCACCAGAUUCCUCAGCACCUCACUCCGUGCCAUAUGGGAGACCUGCCGAAAGCUGGGUGUAGUUUGGACCAGUGCAUUGCAUGCUGAGGCCCAUGCAGUGGGUUGGCGUUGAUGGCAUGUCUGCCCAUUGCCAUCCUUCCUCAUUGACCUGCACCUGGGGAAGAAGAAGAUGACCUUGGCAGCGCUUCCAUGCCCAUUGGUGUGGAGCCUGCCAAAGCAGGAGAGGGCUUCGGGGUGGAUGUUCCCUUCUUCAAUGAGGAGACAUCAGGAUCUGGGGGCAAUGGGGCAGCAGAAUCCUCCAUGUGCCUGUGGUGAGAUCUGACAGUGAUCACCAAGGAAACUGAGAAACGCUGGUGGCUCCUCACAUCUCCAAUAACUUGAGUUAGGUGCUCCUGGCUGGGGACAGUGCACUUUGCUUGGGUCAAGGAGCAUCAAGUGGUCCCAGGUAAUGGCUUUCCUACUUGUCUCUCUCUUGGGUUUAAAAACUCUCAAGCCCCCACUGUGAUCUGGGACCACUGUUGUUGAAUGGUGACCUGUACCUCAACCAGCAUGGGACUGAAGGAGGCAGACCUGGAACCCCAGUGGCUUUUCCUGGCCAAGAGACAGGUGCAAGCACAGAUGGUAUCAAGCAAAUGGGACUCUGGACCGGCUGAUAACUUUGGGUGCUGCCACAGCAAACGCUGAUGGCUG